GAUGACGUCAGUAGCUCAGCGUAUGAAUGCUAAUGGAGAGGCUCGUAAACGUGGUGGUGGUAUGACCCGAACCUUCUCCCCCCUCACUGCUAUCAUACAGCGCCUCUACAGCAAGUCAGAUGAGGCUGAUAGCAAGAGUGAGGAGCCAGAGACACACAGAAGACGCUAGGAGAUCGGCUCCGAAAGUCAAGUUCUCUAAAACUAUUACCGAGUUUCCAGACUACAGUCGCUAUGACAACCCAACAGAGAUCAAAUCAGUAUCAUGCAAGCCCAGGUCAAAGUCCGUCCCAUAGUCACCAUGGCAAGUUGGAUGGGGACUCGCUGAGGGUCAAAGGUGAAAGCUCGGAACACAUCAGAAAAAAAAAUUAUUAUUAGCAUAGCACAAACUGUUCAUUAUUUUUAUUGCUUAUACUCAAGAUUUGUAUGUUACUAAUGAUAGUGUCAUUUGCCAUAUG